rnacentral:lncRNA from 1 species
CUUUGCUGUUUUCUGCUCAGAAGAAACUUAUCAACACACCUAAACUCUGUCCUCUCCUGCAGUGCAUUGUGGGUACCUGUGCCUCCUGUCCCUGUUGGGGACCGUCUUGGUGGCUGGAAGGUCAAUCAGGAAGCGUAAUGCUGAAAUGCAGAGCGUCAUUGAGAACCUGCUGGAGGCGCUGAGCAAAUACAGCAGCGACAUUUCAAACGACGUGAGACUCUUGUUCCACUCUCACCCCUAAAAUAUCCUCCUGCAACCGUCUGAGCUCUGAAACACAAUCUUCUGGUUUUUCUCAUCAGGGCGUGCCUGAUAUUUCUUGCACGGAGCAGUUUGAAAACUCAGGAAAGUUACAGGAUGGAGACUCUAACCACAAGACCACGUACCUCAACCUCUUGCAGUACCAGAAGCAUGUUGAAGCCCUGCAUCGUCUUCCAAGCAGAGCCUCUCUGCAGGAAGCUGCUGUCAUGAACCAGGACCUGCUGCAGCACCUGGUGAGUCCCUGCAUGCUGAGCGGAGCCGGAGCCGUUUCAACAUCCGUCCAGUUCAGGGAUCUUCUCCUGCAUGUAGUGGGAGAUGUCAGCAAAAGCUCAGUUUUCCUCAAAUAUUCCCCCUUUAUAGUUUUUUUUAU